rnacentral:rRNA from 1 species
UACGUAGGGCGCAAGCGUUGUCCGGAAUUAUUGGGCGUAAAGAGCUCGUAGGCGGCCAGUUGCGUCCGCUGUGAAAUCCCGGGGCUUAACCCCGGGCGUGCAGUGGAUACGGGCUGGCUAGAGGCAGGCAGGGGAGAACGGAAUUCCCGGUGUAGCGGCGAAAUGCGCAGAUAUCAGGAGGAACACCGGUGGCGAAGGCGGUUCUCUGGGCAUGUCCUGACGCUGAGGAGCGAAAGUGUGGGGAGCGAACAGG